rnacentral:rRNA from 1 species
AGAGUUUGAUCCUGGCUCAGGAUGAACGCUAGCGGCAGGCUUAAUACAUGCAAGUCGAACGGGAUUCGGAGUAGCAAUACUUUGAUGAGAGUGGCGCACGGGUGCGUAACGCGUAUGCAACCUACCUUUAACUGGGAGAUAGCCCCGAGAAAUCGGGAUUAAUACCCCAUAACAUUACGAAUUGGCAUCAAUUUGUGAUUAAAGCUCCGGCGGUUAGAGAUGGGCAUGCGUGACAUUAGCUGGUUGGUGAGGUAACGGCUCACCAAGGCAACGAUGUCUAGGGGUCCUGGGAGGGUUAUCCCCCACACUGGUACUGAGACACGGACCAGACUCCUACGGGAGGCAGCAGUAAGGAAUAUUGGUCAAUGGGCGCAAGCCUGAACCAGCCAUGCCGCGUGCAGGAAGACGGCCCUAUGGGUUGUAAACUGCUUUUAUCAGGGAAUAAACCCCCGCUCGUGAGCGGGGCUGAAGGUACCUGAGGAAUAAGCAUCGGCUAACUCCGUGCCAGCAGCCGCGGUAAUACGGAGGAUGCAAGCGUUAUCCGGAUUCAUUGGGUUUAAAGGGUGCGCAGGCGGAUUGGUAAGUCAGGGGUGAAAUCCCACAGCUCAACUGUGGAACUGCCUUUGAUACUGUCAGUCUAGAGUAUAGUUGAAGUUGGCGGAAUGUGUCAUGUAGCGGCGAAAUGCUUAGAUAUGACACAGAACACCGAUCGCGAAGGCAGCUAGCUAAGCUAUAACUGACGCUCAUGCACGAAAGCGUGGGGAUCAAACAGGAUUAGAUACCCUGGUAGUCCACGCUGUAAACGAUGAUUACUCGAUGUUGGCGAUACACAGUCAGCGUCUGAGCGAAAGCAAUAAGUAAUCCACCUGGGGAGUACGAUCGCAAGAUUGAAACUCAAAUGAAUUGACGG